rnacentral:misc_RNA from 1 species
AAGUCGUAACAAGGUUUCCGUAGGUGAACCUGCGGAAGGAUCAUUACAGAGAGGGGGUCUCCGGACUCCGGGGGCUUCGGCCCCCAACUCUUCACCCUUUGUUUACAUACCUUUGUUGCUUUGGCGGGCCUUGGGGGUUCGCCCCCAUGGCGGCUCCGGGCCUCAUCCCCCGGCCGUCUCGCGCCCGUCAGAGACCCAUCAAACUCCGUUUAUCAUUGUCGUCCGAGCCAAAACAUAAUAGUUAAAAAA